rnacentral:rRNA from 1 species
UCGGGAAUUUUGUGCAAUGGGCGAAAGCCUGACACAGCAACGCCGCGUGAAGGAUGAAGUCCCUCGGGAUGUAAACUUCGUAAGAAUAGGAAGAAUAAAUGACGGUACUAUUUGUAAGGUCCGGCUAACUACGUGCCAGCAGCCGCGGUAAUACGUAGGUGGCAAGCGUUGUCCGGAUUUAUUGGGUUUAAAGGGUGCGUAGGUGGCCCUGUAAGUCAGUGGUGAAAUAUCUCAGCUUAACUGAGAGGGUGCCAUUGAUACUGCAGGGCUUGAGUACAGAUGAGGUAGGCGGAAUUGACGGUGUAGCGGUGAAAUGCAUAGAUAUCGUCAAGAACACCGAUAGCGAAGGCAGCUUACCAAGCUGUAACUGACACUGAGGCACGAAAGUGUGGGGAGCAAACGGGAUUAGAUACCCACGUAGUCCCUGAGCGGGCUGGCAAGGCGCAU